rnacentral:rRNA from 1 species
UACAGAGGGUGCAAGCGUUGUUCGGAAUUACUGGGCGUAAAGCGCGGGCAGGCGGCUCGAUGCGUCUGAUGUGAAAUCUCCUCGCUCAACGGGGAGAGGCCAUUGGAAACGGUCGAGCUGGAGGGCAGUAGAGGUAGGCGGAAUUCCGGGUGGAGUGGUGAAAUGCGUAGAGAUCCGGAGGAACACCAGAGGCGAAGGCGGCCUACUGGGCUGCACCUGACGCUGAGCCGCGAAAGCCAGGGGAGCGAACGGG